CAGGCAGGUCCUCUGGUGCUGGCUCUGGGGCUGGAUCUGGGGCUACCUCCUGAGCAGCUCCUUGCUCCGGCACGAGGAUGUACUCUCCGUCAGCAAGAUUACAGUCUAUCGAAAUGCAAUGAACAUGUAUGUCAUGAUUAUGCAUGAUUUAAGAACAUUAAGUUAAAGAAACUAAGUUAAGAAUGAACUUAAGGUUUUCUCAGUUAUGCGGGGCUUCUAGUGGUACAUAGAUAGACUUAUUACUCUUUGGACUUAGGUUUUCCUUUAGGACAACAUAUUGGUUUGGUAUUGCUUUGAUAUAUUUUUGUGGACAGCAAAUAAAGUUUUUUUAGGGACAACCUUUAUUCAUAUCUUUUAUUUCUCUUCCCUUAAUUUUCAUUUAGGUUUUCUAGGGUAGAUUUGAACUACAACAGGGUUUUAAUAAUUUCCAAAAAUUCUGUAAAAAUUACAGUGGGCUGCCACUGGCUAUUUUAGCUUGUUUUAAGAAUUUGAGGCUUAAGGUAUAAAAGUUAGGCCUUAAACAAAAAUAACAAAAGUUAGGCAAAAAGGGGCACUUUACACUACACCUCCUAGUUAGGGGUAGGCUCUGUCCUAAAGGUUAUUUUUGUUGGCAUCCUCUGGUAAUGAUAGGUCUUUGUGCUAAAAAUCACAGGGAACUAAGGGGUGGUUAAUUAGCUAUGAUUUUCCCAAGUUUAAUGUCAAAAAGGCACUUUCCACUACAUUAUUAUUUGAAAAAUGUCAAACAGCAGAUUUCAUAUUUUUCUUAGGUUCUUUCUAAUAAAACAAUAGUUAUCCCAAGGGUGAGGGUGUUUUCACCUUGGGGUUAUUUUUGUGGAGUUUUUCUAAGUUAUCCUUGUUUUAUUAAUUUAAAAGGUAGCUUUCUUAUUUUACACUACAACAGGGUAUGAUACAUUUUUCCAGUGAACUAUAUUGACUAAGUAUCUCAACAAAAAUAGGGGUGCCCUCUGGUUCAAAAUUUUGUGUCACUUUUCCUAUUUUUCUUAAACUUAAGCAUAUUUGGAAUAAGGGGUUAAAACUAACUUAAUGUAAUGGACAGAGGGGUUUAACAUUUUUAAACAGGUUAGUAGGUGAAUAUAAACUUCUCCAAAUUUUCCUAACCUUAGUCAAAUAGCCUAACUAUUUUUCUUACUAUUAUUUAGCUUUUGGCUAAAGUUAACAUUAAAUCAGAACUUUUAAGUUUUCCACAGCACCAAGGGGUUUUAUAUUUUUCCUAAAUAGGUUACAUGAUUUAGAGUCUGGCAAAAUUGGUUUGACCAAAAUUGGAUAAACCAAACAGAAGUUAUGGGUUUUUUAAAGUUUCUGUUUGAAUUUAAAUUAGGUUUUAAUUAAGUUUUCCUGGAAAACGGUUUGCGCCGAGGCCCUUGGGUUUAAAACAAUUCAAACCUCGCAGAUCUACCCUUAAGGCACUAUUCACUUGAGUCUCUGACCUUCCACUUAACCCCCUGGGUUUCUCUCCCUCUCACCCGCAGUCCCUCCCUCAACUGAAACAGUGGCCGCGGGAAAGAAAAGGGUGGCGCGGCUUACCGGCGGCGAGGGAGGUCCGGCGAAGGGUAGGGUUGGCUCGGGGAGGGUCUGGCGAUCAUGCCGAGGUACGGCUCGUCGUCGGAGAUGGCCGGAAUCGCCCGGUCCACGUGAGCAGGCGGGCGAGCUCGUCGGCGGCGUGUGCUCCGGCCUAUCCACGGCGGCAUAGUUCAAUCCAAGGGCAUAGGGAGCUUCGUGGAGGUCUAAGGAGUCUAACCGUGCAAGGAAUCGAAGAGAGGUGCACGGUGUACCUCGGUCCACGGUUGCCGGCGGUCGGUUGAAGUCCGGUGACCUUGGGCCGGCCUCUCCGGUGAAGCAGAGCCCGAUUCCUCGCUCGGGGAGCUUCACGGAGACGUGCACAGUCUUCUCCGAGGGCUGGACGGGAUUGGGAAUGGCUGGGCUGGCCGGUCUACGGCGGCAGGGGCUCGGGUGGCCGCGGGCGCGUCGCGUAUGGGCAACCGGCGGCGAACUGAGCUCCGGUGAGGCUUGAGUGCGUGCGGAGGGGUACGGCCGAGGCUCCUGGGCGUUUUAUAGCCGCGGACGCGGACCAGGGCGCUGGCUCGGCUUGGGCGCGGCGCGGGCGCGGGCGUGCUCUGGCGCGGCAGACGGCGUCGAACACGUGGCGGUUUGUUUCUUCCAGUGUUCAAAUGUCGCCAGAGGUCGCAUACGUGCGAAUCUUUGCAAAAGUCCGCCGCAGACCUCUUCCUGGCACCUAGGGCUGUCACUCGACUGUGAGACGCCGGGGCAGAUACGGCCUAGGGAGGAAGAUCUUCGAGUGCCAAAACAGGUGUGUCAUACUGGGCAUAACACGACAAAAGCCAUGCCAUGGCAUGUCAAACGUCCGCGUCUCGAGCUCAACUUUUUCCAGUGGGUGCCCUAAGUGGUAUUGCACAUUUUUGGUAUAGAACCCAAGUGGUUUUGGCGCCAUUUUUGAAGUGAACACGGUUGAUCUUUGAUUUAGGGCUAAAAUGGGACUUAGAGUGAAUUAGAGAGUUCUAGCUCUCUCUCCACUUGGAGAUUUGAAAUGGGGUUUCCCUAGGGGCCUUUUUGUAAUAUUUCCCCUCCCUAAUUGAUGGUUAAAAAUGUUGCUUAGGGUUUGGGUAAAGAUUACCCAUGUUUUGCACAUUUGCUCACUCUCUUUCCCCUCUUAUCCAUGGUUUUGGGAGAUAGGGUUUAAGAGAGGCCUAGGGUUCUUUCUCCCUCUCCCAAGGUGAUAGUUGCACACAAUUAGGGUAAAGCCUUUGGUCAUUCCCAACUCUUGGUAAAAACUUAGUUUCCAAAGCCCCUUAUACUUUUGCUCCUUAAGUUUUUCCACAUGUGAUCAUAGUCUUGAGUGCCAAGGUGUGUUCCAGCCAUGGCAACACCUGGGGUGUUACACAGCUGGUCUACUGAAGUUUGGCCCCUUGGGUGGAAACCCAAAUGAUCGAGUCUUCUGGUGCCGGUCCUGCUGCUGUGCCCGGAGAACCUGGAACUUCCUUUUAAGAUGCCCUUUUUCUUCCUCCUUUGCCCUUUCAACUUGCAUGGCCUUGUUGGAAAGGUGAGAGAAGUUGAGGAAGUCUUGGCUAGCUAGAAUUGUCUUGAGUUCUGGCCUGAGUCCCUUCAGAAAACGGGCCAUCUUCUUGCUCUCGGUACUGACAUCAUCUGGCGCAUAGCGGGCUAACUCUGUGAACUUGUGCACAUACUCGCUGACAGAUCUUCCGUCUUGAGUCAAUUCUCGGAACUCGUCCUCCUUAAGCUGUACCAGUCCUUGGGGCACAUGGUGCUCCCGGAAAGCUGCUUCGAAUUCCGCCCAGGUAGCAUCUCUGAUGGUGACGUUGAAGGUGUCCCACCAGGCUAAGGCCGUCCCAGAAAGUUGGUGGGCAGCCAGUUGAACACGCUGAUUUUCUGGGCAACCAAUGGCUUCCAGUUUUCUUUUGAUCGUGCGCAUCCAAUCGUCUGCAUCAAGGGGGUUGCUUGAUCCGGCGAACGUGGGUGGUUUGAGUCUCAGGAAAUCCCCCAUUCUGUCUUGUGGUCUUCCACCAUUCGGCCGUUGAUUUUCCAGAUUUCGAGUGAGGACCUCGAUGAGUCGGGUUUGAUUGGCUAGAACUUGGGCUAGGUUUAAGGGUAAUGGUGGAGGUGCAGGGAGGUGGGUUUCACUUUCUUCUCUAACGACUUCCCCUUCAGCUCUCAGGGGAAACCCUGCUCCAAUCCCGGAGGCGGUAGGCGUGGUUUUAUCCGAAGCCAUCUGCCAGGGAAGAGAGUCACUAUUAUGCACAUGCAAAUUGUUUUUAACCAAGUUAUUUUAUUCAUUACACCAUCACAUUACAAGCAUAAGAUUACUACAGGUGGAACUACACGAGAGCGUUCCCCGAGGUACUAGCGAAUUCCUUAUCUAAGGUGUCCCCAAAUGCCUUGAGAAGAUCAUCGAGGCUUGCUAGGGAUACAUCCUCGUCGUCGGACCAAUCAUCUAUUCUGGGGGGAGGUAGGGCUAGAGGGGCCUUCUUCUUCUUCUUCUCUGUCUGGCAUCCUUGGUUGGUGGUCUUUUUCUGGAUUUUCUUCUUGGGGGCGAGUUUCUUUAGCUUCUUGUCAUAAUCCAUCUUCAAAGUCCGAUAGUCUUCACGGGUGUUGGCUUCCUCGCCUUCUGCUAUGUUGAGACUUUCCUGGAGGGAUGCCUUCUCUUGCUUAAGUUCUUUGACUUGCUGCUCUAGGCUUUCCACUCGGGAGUUUAGGUGGGUGCAGUGGGAGGAGAGCUCGUCGUAGUGGUUGUCGAGGGUGUGGAGGUAUCCGGCCAUGUAGACGAUAGUGGGGUCAUCUUCUGUGGGGUUUCCUCCUGACAGAGCCUGGAGUCUUUUCCUCCAGGUGGGGGUGUUUUUGUUGCUGGGUGGGAAAUAUCGGAGGGGGUUUCGGAGACCUCUCGGCUAUAGUUUUGGCACAGUUGUUUGAGGGCUUUUCGAGCGACGCUCUGGCAAGUGUCUGGGAAGCGGUGCCCGAUGAAGGUAACUUGGAAGGGAUGGUGGUUUGGGUAGUUUCGGCUUUCUGCCAAGUAGACCGCCAUAGAUCACUUUUCUAUUCCAUUUUCACGAUACUCCUUCCAGACAUAUUCGGGCUUCUUGCGGAUCCCCAAGUGUAGCAUGCAGCUCCGAAGAAGGUGAGGAAAGCCUUCCUCCUCUGAGCAAUAGGAUGUCCUAAUCACCCAGGGGUUUCCUAUCUGGUAGACGAAAAGAAAGGUCUAUUAAUAUCGGGGAAGGGGAAGAGUGUUUCUUGGGGGGUAAGAGGUGUUUUCUUGUUAAGGCAACUUUUAAGGUCAGGGCUGUGGUCUACGGUCAGUCCUAUAGGCUCUGAUACCACCAGAAGCGUCCCGAUCCUUUGGGACUCAAAUGUGAUACAAUUACUAGUCCCAGGAGGCUAGUAAUCACAUUCAUUACUUCAAAUAGUUACAGAGUCUGAAUAAUGAUAUUACAAUACCGGGGGAUACAAGCUCGGAAGUGAGCCGAAAAACAUAAGGCGCAAUGGAAGAUAAAAUAGCCCAAGCCACAGGCAGAACUAGGUGAAGACACAGCCCCAUCAAUCAAGCAUAGCAGAAAAGAAGUCUUCAGCUGCUGAAAAACAUAAAUAAAUCUGAGUGAAUACACUAGGUAUUCCGCAAGCCCACCCGGCUCCCGUAAAGAGAAAGUGACCUAUAUGGUACAUGCUUUAUAUGGUGGAGUUGAAGUCACUCAUACUUUUUCAGAGAAAGGCAGUAUUCAUUAUUUAUGGUUUUCCCAAGACAAUAGAAGUAACACUUGCUUGACCACCACUGAGCUUCCUGCUCCCGUGGUACCACUUUCUUUUCAGAGAAUACCCACACAUUUCCCUGUUCCCGGUUGUAGUAGAAACACUAAUUGUCAUACCAUACCAGACUCGUCCAUACCAGUGGACAUGGACUAUUCGAAUAGGUUUAGACUCUGCGCAGAGGGGUACACUUUACCCACUAGUCCGGCUCUGCGAUCUCAUGGCCAAUGAGACCCGAAUCCGAAACUCUUUCCUUCCUUGUACGUCCGAACCUUUACGGUUAUACCGGAAGGAGUCAGGCCACCACCAUGUCCAAACCGGACAAAACAUUCCCCCUCCUUAUCCUCCCGGUGCUACCCCAGCCUUCAUAACCCUGGGGUUGGACCGUACGAGUUUAGAUCGAGUGGCUGCCCACACAGCCUCAAAUGGUUGUACUUUUUGAGAGUACAGGUAAUGAAAGAUGACAAACUGGUCCUUAUACGAGAGGACGAUCCUUCUGCUCAUGCCUAAACCAGCUGAGCCAACACCUUAGGCCCUCCCCUAAACCAGGGAGUCCCUGAUCAUCCUACUCACCAGGUGAUGAGGGUGAGUACCCUUCAUCGCACACCUUUGGAAAACAUUCCACUUGUACCCUUUUUACUUGCCUCAUAUCUUUUAAUCAAAGUAAUUGUCUGCGUUUCGAGACCGGGGGGUCCCUAAGCCGACGAGUGAAAUGUCGCCGCGUGCCCCAGCCUAGAUGGGUCGGCGCGAGGCCGAGCGCGAAGGGGGGAAGUGAGGUGGCUGGAGAUGGGCGUGAGAGAGGUGGAAAUCCCGCGGCCUUCGUGUUCGUCCCGCGCCCAGGUCGGGUGCCCUUGCAGUAGGGGGUUACAAGCGUCCACACGGGAGAGGGAGCGAGCGGCCUCACGCGAGCGCCUGUCUCGUCCUCGUCCCCGCGCGGCCAACCCCCUCUAAGAGGGCCCUAGUCCUUCCUUUUAUAGGAGUAAGGAGAGGAUCCAGGUGUACAAUGGGGGGUGUAGCAGAGUGCUACGUGUAUAGCGGAGGAGAGCUAGCGCCCUAAGUACACGCCAUCGUGGCGGCCGGAGAGAUUUUGGUGCCCGGUUUGUGUGAUGUCGUGGCCGUCGGAGGAGCGCUGGAGCCUGGCAGAGGGACAACUAUCGGAGCUGUCGAGUCCUUGCUGACGUCCUCUUGCUUCCGUAAGGGGGCUGAGAGCCGCCGUCGUCACAGAGUAUGCGGGGCGCCAUCAUUGCCUAUCUGGCGGAGCGAGCCAGAUGGGACGCCGGUCUUGUUCCCCGUGGCCCGAGUCAGCUUGGGUUAGGGUGAUGAUGGCGCCUCCUGUUGACGUGGCUGGUCUGCGCCCUAGGUUGGGCGAUGUGGAUGCUCCUCCGAAGCCGAGGUCGAGUCUGUCUUCCGUGGCCGAGGUCGAGUCCGAGCCCCUGGGUCGGGCGAGGCGGAGACCGUCGGCUGAGGCCAGGGCGGAGUCCGAGCCCUGGGGUCGGGCGAAGCGGAGUUCGUCGUCUUCUGGGGCUGAGCCCAAGUCCGAGCCCUGGGUCGGGCGGAGCAGAGUUCGUCGUCUUCUGGGGCUGAGCCCAAGUCCGAGCCCUGGGUUGGGCGGAGCGGAGUUCGCCGUCUUCCGGGGCUUAGCCCGAGUCCGAGCCCUAGGUCGGGCGGAGCGGAGUUCGUCGUCUUCCGGGGAUUAGCCCGAGUCCGAGCCCUGGGUCGGGCGGAGUGGAGUUCGCCGUCUUCCGGGGCUUAGCCCGAGUCCGAGCCCUGGAUCGGGCGAAGUGGAGCUUCCUAUGGUGCCUGCGGCCGGGCCUGACUGCCUGUCAGCCUCACUCUGUCAAGUGCCACCGCAGUCGGAGCGGCGCAGGCGGCGCUGUCUUUCUGUCAGGCCGGUCAGUGGAGCAGCGAAGUGACGGCGGUCACUUCGGCUCUGUCGACUGAAGGGCGUGCGUCAGGAUAAAGGUGUCAGGCCACCUUUGCAUUAAAUGCUCCUGCGAUUUGGUCGGUCGGCGCGGCGAUUUGGUCAGGGUUGCUUCUUGGCGAAGACAGGGCCUCGGGCGAGCCGGAAAUAUGUUCGCCGCUAGAGGGGGGCCUCGGGCGAGGCGGAGAUCCUCCGGGGUCGGCUGCCCUUGUCCGAGGCUAGGCUCGGGCGAGGCGUGAUCGAGUCCCUCGAAUGGACCGAUCCCUGACUUAAUCGCACCCAUCAGGCCUUUGCAACUUUAUGCUGAUGGGGGUUACCAGCUGAGAAUUAGGAGCCUUGAGGGUACCCCUAAUUAUGGUCCCCGACAGUAGCCCCCGAGCCUCGAAGGGAGUGUUAGCACUCGCUUGGAGGCUUUCGUCGCACUUUUUUGCAAGGGGACCAGCCUUUCUCGGUUGCGUUUUGUUCCGGUGGGUGCGCGCGAGCGCACCCGCCGGGUGUAGCCCCCGAGGCCUCGAAGGAGUGGUUUGACUCCUCCGAGGUCUUAAUGCCUCGCGUAAUGCUUCGGCUGGUCUGGUCGUUCCCUCAUGCGAGCUGGUCGUAGCCCGGGUGUACGGUCGGGUCCCAAGUUCUCGGGCUGGUAUGUUGACGCUGUCAACGGUUUGGCCGGAGCCAGGUUUGCGAGAGCAGCCCCCGAGCCUCUGCACAGGGCGAGAGGGCGAUCAGGGACAGACUCGACUUUUUUACAUACGCCCCUACGUCGCCUUUCCGCAAGGAGGAGCUGCAGGCGAGUAAUUCGAGCAGACGUCCGUGCCCCAUUCGCUAGGGGUCGGCUAGAGGCCCAAAGGCACGCCUAAAAGUACCUGCGGGUGAUCUGCCGGACCCGGUCCCCUGUCGACGGGGUCCGAGGGCUCGAUGCCUCCCUCUGAUGGGAUUCCGUUACAAGAUCGUUCCCGCUGGUCUCGGAAAUGUCCUAGGGUACCUCGGGAGCGCAGCCCGAGCCUUGGUUAUGUAUCGAACGUACCCAUGGUCAUCCCUCGCUCUGUGUCUGAGGCGGCUGUGAACCCUUCGGGGGCCAGCCUUCGAACCCCUGAUCAGUAGUGGGCGCGGAGCCCGAGUAGCCUGAGGCGGUCAUUGAACCCUUCCGAGGGGCCGGCCUUCGAACCUCUGACCAGUAGUGGGAGUAGAGCCCACGCGAUCUGGGGCGGCUGUCGAACCCUUCUAAGGGGCCAGCCUUUGAACCUCUGAUCAGUAGGGAGGCUCGGAGCCUGGUUCCUUCACGGAGAAGGAUCCUUUUCGGGGUAUCCCCCUUUCCCGGUCCCUGUUGUAAGAGAGAGAAAGGGGAAAAAAGGAAAAGGAUUUAAAAAUGAAAUGACGUGGCGUACCUUUUUUUGACGCGGUCAUUAUUGCGAAGGCGAGGCGUCGCUCGCUUCCCCUGCCAGAGGCGCCGCCUUUCCCGCCGUGGAGUUAAUGUGACGGGGCGUGCGGUUCGCGGUGCGGCCGUUGCGCGUGCGCGAGCCGUUCGAGGAACGGCUGUUUCGCUUCGUGUUUUUGAAUCCCGCGGCCGGUCCGGGCGGAACGUUGAACGGGUCUCGCCUUGGUCUUUAUAUACUCGGGGGAGGGUCUGGCGAUGGUUCUUUGCUCCGCUUCCUGCCUCCCUCUUAGGUUUUCGCAACCUGAGAGACUUAGCCAGAGAAAAGGAAACCGCCCACCCUGUCCUUUGCACCGCCACCCCUUCUGCUCGGUGAUGGCCGACCGGGUGACCAUCAUCUUGCCGCGUGACCCAUGGCCUUUAUCCACAGUGACGACGGGUGAUCUGGAGGAUCUUGUUGCUGAGGGUUUACUUCGCCCUCUCUCUGAUGAGAGGCGGCCGGAAUGGAUUCCCCCCGUGAGCGGAGCCGCUCUGUCCCCACCGCCGGGGUACAUCGUGAGCUUCGUCUCCUUCCACGAGCGGGGAUUUGGUGUGCCGGCGAGCCGCUUUAUGCGGGCGAUCCUGCACCACUACGGGGUGGAGUUGCACAACCUCAGCCCCAACUCCAUCUCGCAGGCCGCCAUCUUCGUAGCGGUGUGCGAGGGGUACUUGGGGAUCGCCCCCCACUGGGACUUGUGGACUCAUCUCUUUUUCGCGGAGCUUUUUGCUUCGCCGACGGGGGAAAGAAAGGUCCGCGCGGCAGUGCGGGCCGGCGGCUGCAUCCUUCAGCUGAGGCAGUCGCGGGCGUCGCUGUAUAUUCCCGCCAUCCUUGCGUCCUCGAACAAAGGGUGGCAGCGCCGGUGGUUCUACCUCCGGAAUGACGGCGAGUUGCUCCCGCCGUUUUCCCAGCGAGUAGUCACCGUCGCCGCCGAUGCUUGGCGCCACGGGACCCCGCACGAAAGACAGAAGAACCUCGAACCCCUUCUCAAGGCCUUGGAGGCGUUGCGGAAAGGGGGACUCACCGCCGCGGGAGUGAUUGCCGCCAUCCACCGCCGGAGGGUGCUUCCCUCGCCGGAGCGACGGUUGCCGCUUUGGGAGAUGACACCGGAGGCUGACUUGGAGGGCUCGCGGAUGUCCUCGGAUCCUCUUCCCUUCGACGUUCUCCACGGGCGGGUGGCCGUCGCGUUGGGGAAACUGGACCCCAGCGCCUUCUCCCAGCCUUUGAUGCGCCCUGACCAAGGGUGCGUGACUCUGGUGAGUGUCCGCUCCUUCCUUCCUCUUGCAUCGGGUUGCCCCUGGUUCUUACGGUCGGGAUUUCCAUCCGUCUUCAGGAGGUAGGGUGGCACAAGCCUUCCCUGCCACGGGUCCCACAGGAUGCGGUGGACCGAGCAGCGCGGCGGGUUGCCGCGGAGGAGAAGAAGAAAAAGAAAGACGCGGAGAAGGCCCGGGCCCGCGAGCGGAUGCGGGCUCGAGACGCCUUGGAAAAGCUCCAUCGUCGGCAGGAGAGGGAGGGGCUCCCGAGGGAGCCGUCGCCGGAAACGCCUGAUGACGACGACAAUGAUGAAGAUGAUGACGAGGAAGACGACAUGGCUGCCCGCCUCGGCUUGAGCCCUGGCUUGAGGUUAGGCCAGGAGCCGUCAAGCCAGCCCCCGAGUGGGCUGAUGCCGUCAGUCCCCGGAGUCGGGACGCCGAGGUCCCGGCCCGAAGAGCGGGGGCAGACCGAGAGGGUACUUGACCCCUCGGCUGGGGGAGUUGAGGCGACCCCGGGGAGCCAGGCUGAGACGUCUGUUCCCCGAGAGCCGUCGCCCACGCCGGCAGCGCAGGAGAGCGACCCUCAGGUCGCCGUGGUAGUGCCUGAGCAGUCCGCCUCCCGGGCAUCCAAAGCGCCCAAAGCAAGGGUGGUGCCGAAGCUGCCGGCGAAGCGGACCUCGACGGCGCCUUCGGGGGUCGAGAUCCGAGAGACCUCCCCUCAGGCACGGUUGAUCAUGGCCCGGAGCGGGUAAGUAUCUUGGAACAUCUUCGUCCUGGCUUUUCAUUUGUAUGUCCUGACCGUGAUUUUUCUUUCCUCCUCAGCAAGCGAAGCCAUGGCCUGACCGAUCUGGCUCCCCGAAAGGCCCUUAAUACGGCGUCGGCUUCCGCAGCCGGCGCCGCUCCGGGCCUUGCCGUUCAGCUGACCUUCUCGCAAGGCGCUCCACAGCAGGGGGCUCAGGCGGCACCAGUCGCCGUGGAGCGAGUUCCCGAGGCCGGCUCUUCUGCCGAGGAGGCCAUCGUGCUAGGGGAGGCGGCUGACGCGGACGUGGCCCCGGCCCCACCGGACGUGCCGGCGGUGCUGGCACCUGUUGCUACUGAAGCCGCUGCCGUCCCAGUCGGGGAGCGACCUGUCGCUGCCGACGCUGAGACGGCCGAGGCAUCGACGCUUGGUGCCUCGGAGGAGGGGGGCGUGGAGACACGAUCCGUCCCGCCGAGCGGCAGCCUUGUCGCUGUGCGGCGGAGCUCCGAGGGUCGGCGCCAGUUGCUCCGGUUCCGGACCCGUGAGGCCUCGGAUCCCUUCUUCGUUCUCAACGAUGAGCGGGAGGAGCAGUCCUGGGACGAGCUCCGCGAGUGUGCCGAAGCAACGGUGGGGUCGCUUCGGUCGUCACUGGAGGUUUUCUGCAGGGACGUCCCCAAAAUCCUCCAGGUAACGGUUUCAGGCAUACCUUUUCUUUUUUGUGACCAAGGCGUCUUUCGUGACGCCCCGCUUCCUUCCCUCAGGAUCUGACGGAUCUGAGCGCCGCCAAGUCGUCGUUCAUCCGCCACGAGGUCGACGUCUGGGGCUCGCUGCGAUCCCUGAGGACCUCGCUCGCCGGGGCUACUACGCGCCUCUCUCAGCAGGGCGCCGAGGCGGCGGACCUUCGGUUGCUCUGCACCGAUCUGAGAGCCGAGGCGGCAGCGGCACGCGCGGAGGCGGCAGCGGCGCACGCAGAAGUGCAACGACAGCAGUCGAAGUUCGACCGGAUCGUCAAUGAGCGGGACCAAUCUCGGGGUCGGGCUGUCGAGGCCGAAAGCCGGGCUGGAGCCCUUGCAGCCGACCUAGCCGUAGCCCAGGUUGCAGCCUCGGAGCAGCGUGCCUGAGCCGGAGGUACGCCUUGGCCAUUUCCGGUUUUCGUUUCAGCUUGUUUCCUCCGCUUGUGUUUGAGAUCUUUCGUUCUGGCUAUUCGCAGAGCUCGAGUCCGCCCUUGAUGAGUCCGCCAAGGCGCUUUCCGAGGCGCUUGCCGGGGCGGCCGAGCAGAGGGAGGCCGACCACGCGGCCAUGUCCGAGGCCGUCUCGGACUUCUGCCGGGUCCUUGGCUCCGGCGACGUCCCCUCAGGAAGCUCCCCUCAAAGUCGCCUGUAGGCCUUGGGCGAUCAUGUGCGCGGCAGACUCCGCGAGGCGCUACACCACGGCGUCAGGCGGGCCUUCGCCGUGCUCGCUUCCCACUACGUUGUGGACCUGGAGCGGGUCAGCGAGGGGUAUUGCCUUCCUGACGAAGAUGAAGCCGCCCUAGCAGAAGUCCAGAGGCUCGAUGCGGCCACCGCGGGUUCGAGCGCAGUGCUGGCGACCACCUUCGAGGCAGAGAUCCUCCCGCCUGCGCCGUCGUCCGAAGCCGGGAUGGACUUUGCCGAGGGCGGGGACGAAGCCGAAGGCGCGGCUCCUACCCGAGGCGACGCCUAACUCUGUCGGAGCUGUUUCUGUUGGAUGCACGUGUGUCUUUCUGCGGCCGCUGAGGCCUGAACACUUUAUUACCGUUGCAUAAAGUCGUGCUCCUUUCCCUUUCAUUUUGCGUGUCUGGCCCCGCCUGUCAGUAGCAGGGUGGCUUCCCCAAGUAGGGGUCACUUUUCGUGGCGGGUGACGAGUGAGGUGUCCGUAACCUAGAGGCGUAGGAGUCCCUCGGCUCAGUCAGCCUUGCCACUUACAUGCACCCGUGUUCGCUCCUUGGGGUCCUGCUUCCGACAUAGCCGGGGGAACGCAAAAGCCUUUUCGAUUGAAAAUUUUGACGCAGAGGGGUUCCCCCCUUUUUAGCCCCCGAGGGAGGGUCAGGUUCUGCCGAGGCAAGGCUGACCCUCCCUUGAUGACUAAAACUUGCGUGGGGGCAAGGUAAGCGAACAACUUGAAAGCAUCUUAAGGGUAGAUGCGACGUAGCUGUUAGACGUUCGAAGUGUUGGUGCAGACCUCGCCUUGACUGUCGGCCAGUUCGUUUGUUCUGGGCUUCAGAACUUUGGCGAUGACAAGCGGCCCUUCCCAGGGGUGCGUGUAGCCCCCGGGUGUCUCCAACAAGGGCUCGGGGUGCGGUGGUGGAGCUCCUCCCCAUCCCCCAGCAAGACGAAUGACUUGGCGUGCCGCGCCAACCGCCGAGCUUUGGCUCGGUCGAGGGGUAGCUCUCCUCGGUGGAGAUAUUGCAGGUACGGGGUCUGCCAGCUUCAAUUAGGCGUGACCCCGCUUCGCUCCUCCUCGACGCGCAGUGCCUCGCCCUCGGGUGCUGAGGGUGCCUCGGGCCGAGCUGAGGGUGCCUCUGGCCGUGCCAAGGAUGCCUCGGACUGAGCCGAGGGUACCUCGGGCUGGGCCGAGGGUUCCUCGGGCUCGGGCGUGUCAUCGAUUUUGACGGAGGGUUGAUGCAGGUCUCAGGAGCAGGCUUCCGGGGGAAACGUUAUUCGCCCCGAGGCGGUACAGAGGCAGGCCCCUUUUGCCGAGGUGCGGGAUGAAGAGGCUCAGGGCCGCAAGACAUCCCAUGACUCUCUGUACGCCUUUCAAGUCCUUGAUGGGCCCCAUGCUGGUGAUGGCUGUGAUCUUCUCCGGGUUGGCUUCGAUGCCCCGCUUGGAGACGAUGAACCCCAAGAGCAUGCCUCGGGGUACCCCGAAGACACACUUUUCGGGAUUGAGCUUCACGCCUUUCGCCUUGAGACAUCGGAAUGUCACUUCAAGGUCGAAAAGGAGGUCGGAGGCUCCCCUCGUCUUGACUACGAUGUCAUCGAUGUAGGCCUCGACCGUCCGGCCAAUCUGUUCGCCGAACACAUGGUUCAUGCACCGCUGGUAUGUCGCGCCCGCAUUCCUCAAGCCGAACGGCAUGGUGACAUAGCAAUACAUGUCGAAGGGUGUGAUGAAAGAAGUCGCGAGCUGGUCGGACUCUUUCAUCCUGAUUUGGUGAUACCCUGAGUAGGCAUCGAGGAAAGACAGGGUUUCACACCCAGCAGUGGAAUCCACGAUUUGAUCGAUGCGAUGCAGAGGGUAGGGAACCUUCGGACAUGCUUUGUUUAGACCAGUGUAGUCUACACACAUCCGCCAUUUCCCUCCUUUCUUUCUCACAAGCACAGGGUUGGCAAGCCAUUCGGGAUGGAAUACCUCUUUGAUGAACCCUGCCUCCAUUAGCUUGUGGAUCUCCUCGCCUAUGGCUCUGCGCUUUUCUUCGUCGAAUCGGCGCAGAGGCUGCUUGACGGGUCGGGCUCCAGCUCGGAUAUCCAGCGAGUGCUCGGCGACAUCCCUCGGUAUGCCGGGCAUGUCCGAGGGACUCCACGCGAAGACAUCGGCGUUCGCGUGGAGAAAGUCGACGAGCACUGCUUCCUAUUUGGGAUCGAGCUUGGAGCCGAUCCGGAUCUGCUUGGAGGCGUCGCUGCUGGGGUCGAGGGGGACGGACUUAACCGUCUCCGCUGGCUCGAAGUUGCCGGCAUGACGCUUCACGUCUAGCACCUCCUUAGAGAGGCUCUCCAGGUCGGCGAUGAGGGCCUCGGACUCGGCGAGGGCCUCGGUGUACUCCACGCACUCCACGUCGCAUUCGAACGCGUGUUUGUACGUGGGGCCGACGGUGAUGACCCCGUUGGGGCCCGGCAUCUUGAGCUUGAGGUAGGUGUAGUUGGGGACGGCCAUGAACUUCGCGUAACAUGGCCUUCCCAGUACCGCGUGGUAGGUUCCUCGGAACCCGACCACCUCGAACGUCAGGGUCUCCCUUCGGAAGUUGGAGGGUGUUCCGAAGCAGACGGGAAGGUCAAGUUGUCCGAGGGGCUGGACGCGCUUCCCGGGGAUGAUCCCGUGGAAAGGCGCAGCGCUUGCCCGGACCGAGGACAGAUCGACACGCUGGAGCCCGAGGGUCUCGGCGUAUAUGAUGUUGAGGCUGCUGCCUUUGUCCAUGAGGACCUUGGUGAGCCUGACGUCGCCGAUGACGGGGUCGACGACGAGCGGGUAUUUCUCCGGGCUCGGCACAUGGUCGGGGUGGUCGGCUUGGUCGAAGGUGAUGGGCUUGUCGGACCAGUCUAGGUAGACUGGCGCCGCCACCUUCACCGAACAGACCUCCCGGUGCUCUUGCUUGCGGUGCCGAGCCGAGGCAUUCGCCGCUUGCCCACCGUAGAUCAUGAAGCAGUCGUGGACCUCGGGGAACUCUCCGGCCUGGUGAUCUUCCUUCUUGUCGUCGUCGCGGGCCCUGCCACCCUCCGCGGGUGGCCCGGCCCUGUGGAAGUGGCGCCGAAGCAUGACGCACUCCUCAAGGGUGUGCUUGACGGGCCCCUGGUGGUAGGGGCACGACUCCUUAAGCAUAUUGUCGAAAAGGUUGGCACCUCCGGGGGGUUUCCGAGGGUUCUUGUACUCGGCGGCGGUGACAAGGUCCGCGUCGGCGGCAUCGCGUUUCGCUUGCGACUUCUUCUUGCCCUUCUUCUUGGCGCCGCGCUGAGUUGACGCCUCGGGGGCAUCUUCUGAUGGGCGGCCCUGGGGCUGCUUGUCCUUCUGGAAGAUAGCCUCGACCGCCUCCUGGCCGGAGGCGAACUUGGUGGCGAUGUCCAUCAGCUCGCUCGCCCUGGUGGGGGUCUUGCGACCUAGCUUGCUCACCAGGCCGCGGCAGGUGGUGCCGGCGAGGAACGCGCCGAUGACAUCCGAGUCGGUGAUGUUGGGUAGCUCGGUGCGCUGCUUCGAGAAUCGCCGGAUGUAGUCCCGGAGAGACUCUCCCGGCUGCUGUCGGCAGCUUCGAAGGUCCCAGGAAUUCUCGGGGUGCACGUACGUGCCCUGGAAAUUGUCGGCGAAAGCUUGGACUAUGUCGUCCCAGUUGGAGAUCUGCCCCGGAGGCAGGUGCUCCAACCAGGCGCGAGCGGUGUCAGAGAGGAACAGGGGGAGGUUGCGGAUGAUGAGGUUGUCAUCGUCCGUUCCACCCAGUUGGUAGGCCAGACGGUAGUCCGCGAGCCACAGUUCCGGUCUUGUCUCCCCCGAGUACUUUGUGAUAGUAGUCGGGGGUCGGAACCGGGUCGGGAACGACGCCCGUCGUAUGGCCCGGCUGAAGGCCUGCGGACCGGGUGGUUCGGGCGAGGGACUCCGAUCCUCCCCGCUGUCGUAGCGUCCCCCACGCCUGGGGUGGUAGCCUCGGCGCACCCUCUCGUCGAGGUGGGCCCGACGGUCGCGGUGAUGGUGCUCGUUGCCGAGGAGACCCGGGGCCGCAUGCGUUGUGUUGCGCGUGCGCCCGGUGUAAACCGAGGCUUCCCGCAUGAAUCGGGAAGUCGCGGCAUGAUGUUCCGAGGGGUACCCCUGCCUUCGGGAGGUGGAGCUCUCGGCCUGUCGGACCGCGGCGCCUUCCAGGAGAUUCUUGAGCUCUCCCUGGAUUCACCGCCCCUUGGUGGUUGAUGGCUCCGGCAUCGCGUGGAGGAGCAUUGCUGCUGUAGCCAGGUUCUGGCCGACCCCACUGGAUGCGGGUGGCGGCCUGACCCUAACAUCGUCGGCGAUGCGGUGCUGGAAGCCCUGGGGUAGAUGACGCAUUUCUCCGGCCGGAGGUUGGCCCGCCCAUGCCUGCCCGACGUCCCGCUGGAUCGGCUCAAGCGCUCCUGCUCCCUCGUCGAGCCUGGCCUGCACCCCGCGGAUUUGCUCGAGCUAUGGGUCAUGGCCCCCCGCCUGAACGGGGACCACAGCUAGCUCCCGUGGGAUGUCAACGCGAGGCACCGGCCUAGGGAGAUCACCGUCCUCCGGCAUGCCGAGAUGGUUGCCUUCGGAGGGACCCCCUAGAUCGACGUGGAAACAUUCGCGGCUUGGGCCGCAGUCCUCGUCGUCGAGGCUACGGCUACCGUCGGAACAGUCGGAAAGGCAGUAGUCGCAUGCGGUCAUGAAGUCCCGCAUGGCACUGGGGUUGCCAAGUCCAGAGAAAUCCCAACAGAAGCUGGGCUCGUCGUCUUCCUCGGACCCAGAGGGCCCGUAGGUCGAGACGUCCGUCAGCCGGUCCCAAGGUGACCGCAUACGAAACCCCAGAGGGUCCGGACUCGCCUCUACGAGAGCGUCCGCCAAAGCGAAGCCGCUAGGCGGGUCGAGGCUGAAUCCGAAAGGCAUGGGAUGGGGAUCGGUCAGUACCUCUUGGUCGACGGGCGGUGAUGAAGUCACGUCGGGGACUGACUGCACCGUCGUCUCAGGUACGAGGGUGACACCCAGCAAGCCUUCCGCGAGCGUGCUGGCGUCGUCCGUUUGCUCGGGAUUGGCGUGUCACGGGGAGACAGCGCUCGUCUUCGUCUCAAGCGCGAGGUCGAUGCCCGGCGUGCCCCCCGUUGGGGCACUGGCGCUGUCGACUCGCUCGACAGCCGACGAGGCGCUGCCUCCUGCUUGGCCUUGGUUGCCCCGCCUCCUCCUCCGUCGGCGGGGGAGAGGACGGGGUGAGCUCGAAGGUUGUUCUUCCACCACGCGGGGAAGACGUCAUCGAUUCCGCCGCCGGCGGGCGGGCUGUCGGCCGCCAUUGUCGCUGUCGCCCGGCGGUGGAAGGAGUAUCAUGUCGUAGCUGCCGUCGAGGGACAUGAACUCAAGGCUCCCGAAACGGAGCACCGUCCCGGGUCGGAGAGGUUGCCGGAGACUGCCCAUCUGGAGCUUGACGGGUAGUUGUUCGUCAACACGCAGCAGGCCCCUACCUGGCGCGCCAACUGUCGGCGUUUCGAGACCGGGGGGUCCCUAAGCCGACGAGUGAAAUGUCGCCGCGUGCCCCAGCCCAGAUGGGUCGGCGCGAGGCCGAGCGCGAAGGGGGGAAGUGAGGUGGCCGGAGAUGGGCGUGAGAGAGGUGGAAAUCCCGCGGCCUUCGUGUUCGUCCCGCGCCCAGGUCGGGUGCGCUUGCAGUAGGGGGUUACAAGCGUCCACACAGGAGAGGGAGCGAGCGGCCUCACUCGAGCACCUGUCUCGUCCUCGUCCCCGCACGGCCAACCCCCUCUAAGAGGGCCCUGGUCCUUCCUUUUAUAGGCAUAAGGAGAGGAUCCAGGUGUACAAUGGGGGGUGUAGCAGAGUGCUACGUGUCUAGCGGAGGAGAGCUAGCGCCCUAAGUACACGCCAUCGUGGCGGCCGGAGAGAUUUUGGUGCCCGGUUUGUGUGAUGUCGUGGCCGUCGGAGGAGCGCUGGAGCCUGGCGGAGGGACAGCUGUCGGAGCUGUCGAGUACUUGCUGACGUCCUCUUGCUUCCGUAAGGGGGCUGAGAGCCGCCGUCGUCACAGAGUAUGCGGGGCGCCAUCAUUGCCUAUCUGGCGGAGCGAGCCAGAUGGGACACCGGUCUUGUUCCCCGUGGCCCGAGUCAGCUUGGGGUAGGGUGAUGAUGGCGCCUCCUGUUGACGUGGCUGGUCUGCGCCCUAGGUUGGGCGAUGUGGAGGCUCCUCCGAAGCCGAGGUCGAGUCUGUCUUCCGUGGCCGAGGUUGAGUCCGAGCCCCUGUCGGGCGAGGCGGAGACCGUCGGCUGAGGCCAGGGCAGAGUCCGAGCCCUGGGGUCGGGCGAAGCAGAGUUCGUCGUCUUCUGGGGCUGAGCCCAAGUCCGAGCCCUAGGUCAGGCGGAGCGGAGUUCGUCGUCUUCUGGGGCUGAGCCCAAGUCCGAGCCCUGGGUUGGGCGGAGCGGAGUUCGCCGUCUUCCGGGGCUUAGCCCGAGUCCGAGCCCUGGGUCGGGCGGAGCGGAGUUCGCCGUCUUCCGGGGCUUAGCCCGAGUCCGAGCCCUAGGUCAGGCGGAGUGGAGUUCGCCGUCUUCCGGGGCUUAGCCCGAGUCCGAGCCCUGGGUCGGGCGAAGCGGAGCUUCCUAUGGUGCCUGCGGCCGAGCCUGACUGCCUGUCAGCCUCACUCUGUCAAGUGCCACCGCAGUCGGAGCGGCGCAGGCGGCGCUGUCUUUCUGUCAGGCCGGUCAGUGGAGCGGCGAAGUGACGGCGGUCACUUCGGCUCUGUCGACUAAAGGGCGUGCGUCAGGAUAAAGGUGUCAGGCCACCUUUGCAUUAAAUGCUCCGGCGAUUUGGUCGAUCGGCGCGGCGAUUUGGUCAAGGUUGCUUCUUGGCGAAGACAGGGCCUCGGGCGAGCCGGAAAUAUGUUCGCCGCUAGAGGGGGGCCUCGGGCGAGGCGGAGAUCCUCUGGGGUCGGCUGCCCUUGUCCGAGGCUAGGCUCGGGUGAGGCGUGAUCGAGUCCCUCGAAUGGACCGAUCCCUGACUUAAUCGCACCCAUCAGGCCUUUGCAGCUUUAUGCUGAUGGGGGUUACCAGCUGAGAAUUAGGAGCCUUGAGGGUACCCCUAAUUAUGGUCCCCGACAGUAAUAGUUAAUGCGGGCUCUCUCGUGCUCACCAUGCAAUUCGAUUCCCAUCCCAUAAUCCAGGCUUAGGCAGUGGUAGAGAGAAGUAGGUAAAUAAUGCAUCAAGGGAAGGAUGGACUUGCCUUCGUCGAAGCUUUCGUGGCACAAGAGGUUAAUCUCGGAGGGGUCGGGUUCUUGCCCUUCUUCCGGAGCUAAGAGUUCCGGAGGAUCGGAUCCCUCUUCCGCUAAUUAAACACAGAUAAAAACAGUACAUCAAACAUAGUGACCUUUGUGGGGUGUGCAAAUUUUUAUACUUUAUUAUUUAUGUGCCCUAAUAAUUUAUUUAGACAAUUUUUGGUGCAUAAAAUAUUAGCAUCUAAAUAUAUAUGUGAAAAUGAGAAAAAGAAAUAGGAAAAGAAAAAGAGAAGGAAUUCUCCAGCUGACUGGGCCAGGGGAGGGGAUUUCGGCCCGCUCAGCACGGGCGCGCGGGCGCGGGCGCGCUUGCGGCCCAGUGUCACACCCGGUUUUGAAGGUAAACCGAAUGCAAACCAUGUACGUGCCAGGAUCAGUAAUUCACGUACACAGCGAUUACAUAAAUGACUCAUCAUAGCACAAUGCUUCGAAUUACAAUAAAGAGUAAGUAAUAAUGUUAAAGACUAGAGCCAUUUACAUAAUAUAAAUCAAAGUACACAGAAUCGAAACGUAGCCAACGUAAAUAAACCCACCACAGGCAGCUGACUGGGGGAGGUCGCUAGCCUAAUCCUCGAACUCGCCGAAGUCGUGGAACUCCUAGAGAUCCGCCUUGACGCCUUCUUCUUACCUGAGCAUAGAUUGCACCAAAGGCAACCUGGUGUUUUGUGAAAGCAAGGGUGAGUACACAUCAACGUACUCAGCAAAUGUCCUGUUUGGCUGAGGUGGACUAGCUUUAUGUGGGGUUAAGCUCUAGCAGUUGCUUUUAGUUGGUCAAGUAUUUAUUAUUAGUGGAAGCCAAGUUUUAGUAAUAGCCAACCCAUGAACCAUUUCCUCAUCGAGAAAACAUCAUUAUCAUCAUCGAGCCAAAACCAUCAAUAGAACCAUUGUAUCUCAUAUCAUAUGUAUCUCUAAUCAAAGAGGAUCCCAAGGUCGCUCAUAACCGUGAGCACGACUGAUAUAUCAGUUUCAUUACCCUCUGCAGAGGUCGCACACUUUACCCACGAGCCGUGAUUCCCAUUUUGCCCGGGGAUCAUGACUCCCCAUUGAUCACUUCCUAGGUGGUCCGGCAGGGUAUCACUACGUAGCUUUUACAAAGAUUCCCUAGAGGUCAUAGCCGCUCGUUAGGUUUCUCCAGUUUGAUAAACACAGUACUUCUCCCCGCAGGAGGGUAACUAACAAAAGCAAAACGAAAGAACCUCGGCACCCAGCCUCGGCAGAGCAAGCACUGUGCCUGGACCCCAUUGACGGCACGACGGCGAAGCAACUACACCUCUAGUUCCUCUAAUCAAUUAGCUAAGGGCGUCCCAUUUCACCAUCAUGGUUGCACUGUUAUCCCGGGUGGUCUCUCAACGAACAGGUCCUUAUGGAGAGGUACUCAGGAAACAGCCUGAGCCCCCUAAAGUAUCACAAGAACAUCAUCGGGAUAACAUCAUCGUAUCAUAAUAUUCACAUCAUGUUCAUUGAUUAAAGUAAAGCAAUAGCAUAAUGCUAACCAUGAUAACCCAAAAGGUAAACAAGGAUAAGGUAAAUAGAAAGCUAGUCAAUCCUUAGGUUUCAAUUGAGUAAUGCGGGACAAUGAAUUAUAAGUGAAUGGGACAUAAUAGGUCAGAGGACACUUGCCUUCACCAAACAGAUGCUCAGGGUCCUCAACUUUGCAGAACUCGAAGAAUAUCACUUGAUCGCCGAAGCUUGACCGUCGAUUCCUUGAAGCUCAGGAAUAGAUCGCAAUCUAUUCGCGUCACACAGCGAAUACCAACAGGCACAAACAAACAUACAUAUGUAUAUGCAUAAGAACAUUACAUCAUUCAAAUAAAACAUAAUAAAAUAUGCAGAACGAAAUAGAGUGUGUUACUACGGUCACGCGAGGGAAAAGGAACCCGACAGUCGAAGCUUCGAUCGAGGAGUUAUAACGUUUACGCUACGCAAGUAGUAGCUAGGACAUUUAAUUUGAUAUUGUAAAAUAUAACUUAUAACCAUUAUGUAGUUUUGAUUAAAUCUACCACACUAAUAGCUAUCAAACAAAUAACUAAUAUAAUUAGCACGAGAGAUUCUAAGCGAAGCGAAUUUACGACGUAUGAAACAAUACGACAGCGUGCAGACGACGUGCGGGCACGCGCGACGUAGCAUGUGCACAACGCAUGAGACAGUGCGCGCGACCAGCGCGAAAGACGCGUGAACCAGCACGUAAACGACGCGCAACGACUUGCGCGAACAACACGCGCGCCACAAGAACAUCACGCGCGAACAGCGCAUAGAUGGUGCGACGACGCCCACGGACAGCACAAUGACACGAGAAUCACUACAUUUAUCGGUUUAUAAUAAAGCAUGGCCAACAAUUAAUUAAUUAAUUAACUAAAGCAUGAGGUACGACAAAAUAAUAUUUUUAACGUGUAUACAAUAUUAUUGUGAAGGUAAAACAAUUAGAAUAGAGUAAAUCAGACGACCAUAAAAGUUAAUGUGUAUUUACUGAGCCGUUGAUUUAAUAUUGCGCGCGGACAGCGCGCGACAAGCGACAAUGUGCGAAAACGGCACGCGGCAACGCGUGCGAAUAGCACGCGCGACGACACGCACGACAACACGCGAAACAGCGCGACACGCGAAAGGCACGCGAUUCAGCGCGCAGCAACACGCGAGAAUCGCUAUCAGAUAUCGUGUUUACGCCAAACAUGAUUAACUAUAACAUUUAAUUCAACACUAUCAAAUAUAAAUUAUAAAUACUAUUUAGUUUUGACUAACUUACUAUUUUAAUAGUGGAUGAUUAAACGAAUAUUUAAUUAAAUGACAUGAGUGAUUAUAAGCGACCGAUUUAAUAUCGCGCGUGGACAACACCCGAUACACAAAAAAAGGCAAUGCGUGCGAAUGACGCGUGACGACGCGUGACAAUACGCGAAAUAAGGCACGGCCAAACACGCGAAACAACGCGCAUGACAACACGUGCUAACGACGGCGCGCACGAAUAGCGCGCAGACAGCACGCGAACGGCGCGCCAGGAUCACUAAUCAAUAUCGCCUUUAUAAUAAACAAUUAUUAAUUAAAAAUAUUCGAGUAGGCAUAAUCAUAUUAACAUGUAUUUAUAAAGUGCAACUAAAAUUGUAAAUUGGUUCAAGUAGAUUGCUACUUUACUAACUAUCUAAUAAAUAAAUAAAUAAUUGAUUAAUUAACUAAAACAUGUAUCACAAUGAAAUAAUGUUACUAAUACGUAAACAACGAGGUUACGAAAUUAACAUGACUAAAACAAGUCGAAACAGAUUUGAGACUUAAAAUAUUUUGAAUAUUUUAUAUCUUGCAGAUUUACUAGAAUGUGGCGUAAUCUGAUUGGUCAAAAGAUGGCCACACAGAGGACCAUAUGAGCAUGGACGCCGAGGAUCCCUGGGAUGGUAAAAUCGUGCUGCAUGCAACAGCUUUGGUCCUAGCAUACAGUGCAUGCGGUGGGAGCCUAGUUGGUCUUUUUUUCCAAACGCACGGCAAGGAGAAAACGUGGGGCAGUGGAAAUCGCAUGCAAGGUGGGCCCCAAGGGCUGUUUUCUUUUCCCUGGUUGCACGAACGAACAACUGCAUCAGUGCUUUUCUUCUUCCUUGAGAAAAAGCAGAGGACGGCAUGGGGGAAGAAGGAGAGGGGAUCGGCCAUGGGGGAGAAGGAGAGGCGGCUAGCCGCGCCCAGGCUACAGGGGAUUUUGUUGAGGCAUGGGAGGUGAACGGCUCACGCAGGGAGAACAGAGAACACCUAGGAGCUGCUGCUGGUCGCGGCUCCUCCACGGCGACUCGCGAGCAGGAGCCUAGCUGGGGCGGCUUGCCGGAGGACCAGGGUCGGUGGGGGCAGGGCUGGGGAGACAUCCGGCCGAGCGACACAGGAGCAGGCGGUGGGGGCUGCGCUCAGCCGCGCGAGGGAGCAGGGGCCCCGACGCCUGGGCACACGGGCGAGCCGCCGCGCGGCUGCCGGCUGUCUACCGCGUCACGCUGGGCAAGCUGUGCUGCCGUGCGCGCUGGCCGCCGCGCUGGCUGGCUGCCGCGUUGGCUAGCCGCCGCGCCGGCUGCGCCAAGCUCGCGCGCACCCGCGCCGAGACGCCGCGCCCGGGGACGUCGAGCCUGGCCACACCGCGCCGCCGGCCGAGGAAAACAGAGGGAGCACGCAGGGGAGGCAGCCAUGGAUUGAAGACGCCCUGCCGCAUGGGACAUGGCCACGGCACAGCCGCUUGAUCGGAAAAAAGGAGGGAGCACGCAGAGGAGGGGAGAGAGGGAGAGGGCUCACCUGCGCACGCAAGAAGACCAAUAACCGUCUGGAUGGGAUGCCUGGUCCUGCGCGAUUUAGAUCUGGGGAGGGAGACGAGGGGUUAUGCGACGAUGGGGUGCUGUGUGUAUAUAGAAAGGAGAUAGCGUGGGAGGUGGUU
rnacentral:lncRNA from 1 species